CAAUAGCGUAUAUUAAAGUUGUUGCAGUUAAAAAGCUCGUAGUUGAAUUUCUGGUGGGCGCGCCGGUCUUCCAAGUGUUGUACUGGGCGCAGUCCGCCAUCCUUGUGGAGAGGGCUCGCAUUGAGUUGCGUGUCGGAUCUGCAUCAUUUACUGUGAAAAAAUUAGAGUGUUUAAAGCAGGUUGUCGCUUGAAUACAUUAGCAUGGAAUAAUAAGAUAGGACUUCGGUCUAUUUUGUUGGUUGCGAACCGAGGUAAUGAUUAAUAGGGAUAGUUGGGGGUAUUCAUAUUUAAUUGUCAGAGGUGAAAUUCUUGGAUUUAUGAAAGAUGAACAACUGCGAAAGCAUUUACCAAGGAUGUUUUCAUUAA
rnacentral:rRNA from 1 species